rnacentral:snoRNA from 1 species
ACCUCUUAUAUCUGCCCGCACAGUGGAUUCCCACAGCUGUAGCGGUUCCUGGAACAGAGGGAGAUUACCCUCACGGCGCGGUACAGUCCACCUCAAUUCGCUUUAGGACUGUACUCGUGGCGUGGGCAUGGUGGGAUGUCUAGGGAUGGCUCGGGUAGCGUUCAAUGCUGCUCGAGUGGUUUUCUUAGCGCCCUACAUUU